AGUGGGAGUUUAGGGACCAUGACUAAUGUAGUCAAAGGUGAAAGUCAAAUAAAGAAGAUAAAUAACUCCAAGGGGAACAAACUUUCUUUAUGAAAUGAUGGACAUUGGAAGGGGUAUUUGCAAGAAAUGUCUUGCAUGUGUCAAAGAACACACCUUUCGAAGGUGUUGUAAAUUGUUCUUGAAUAGUUCAAAACAGUUGGUUCUUCUACUUGAAUAUAUGAUUCCGUAUUAGUAACUAUGUUUUACAAAUCGUUGUAAAAGUGUGACUAAUAAGAAGUAGAAGAUAUAUGAGAGAAGAAAAGGUACUUCACAUACGGAACGUGAAUAAGAUAUAGAUCUCUGCGAAAGCAGAUAGUACUUACUUCCUCAUAGGAACUACCAAAGAAAUUGGAUUAUAGUAAUCUAAUUGAUUGUCUCUAUAGUAGAGAUGAUAUGGUAGUGUUAACUGUUUAGAAUAUAAUGAUGCUUAAAACCCAAAAGGUUGCAAGGUAGUGACUAAUCCCAACUAAAUUGUGAUACCUCUAAAACAUAAGUUACGAGUUGGUGAAACAAGGAUGCUUUGGAUCGUUAGAUCCGGAUCCAAUACCUUCUUGUUAAAAUUGUAUAGAGGCGAAAUGUUCGAAUCUUUGUUCUUUUGGAAAGAAGAAAGAAUCACAAAAGUUGUUGAGGUUAAUUCACUUAGAUGUUAGUGGCACUUGUCCUCAACAUAAUACUACUCAUGUUAUAUGACAUUCACCGAAGAUCACUCUCGGUUGGACUAUAGUUUAUUUUGAAUAAACACAAGUCCGAAUACUUUGCAAAAAGUUUCAAAGAAUUCAAGAAAUGUAAAUAGAUGAGUAAGAUAUCUAAAGUAUUUACCCUCUUUAGAUUUGAUCCAAGGAAAGGUAACACUUUAGAUGAGUUUCCUUGAAUGAUAUCAAGGAAAAUAGCAUCAUAAGAUAAUGUAUUUCUCCAUUAGGAGAAGAACGAACUAAAAUAAGAUUUAGUUCGUUAGAUGUUAUCUAUUACCCAUAUAUAGGAUAUAUACUUCUAAAACAAUAUGAUUGUCAAUUAGAAGAUCUUCCAAAAUUUUCAUAACUCCAUAAGAUGUAGUUGGAAAGAAAAACAAAUCUUAAGCAUGUUAAGAUUUGAGGUUGUGUGCUAAUAAGCAAUAUUUGUUUGAUAACAAUCUUGUGGGAUAUCCUUAAAUUAACUUUUGGAUAUCGCUUCUAUAAUCCAACUAACAAAUGUUGUUUUGUUGGGAAGUUCAUUGUAAUCCUACAAUGUGAUUUGCCUAAGAGCAAAUGAACGAAAGAUAGAACUCGAAGAAUGGGUUCUUUGAGAGACAAGAAAGUAAUCAACAAAUAUAACAACCUAGUUCCUAUACCUCAAGCUCCAAGGUAGUCGAUAAGGAUUUAUAAACCGUCUCAGUUGAAUGGUUUUGAACUUUAUGACUAUGUCAUAGAGUUGCACCUCUUAAUUCGAAAGAAGUAAGAAUGAAAAUCCUUAUGACUACACUGAGUGCAUAUACGAUAUAUACUCAAGGAAAUGGUAAAGUACCAUUUGACUCGAAAUAAUGAAACCUUCAUAGCUAAUUGGUAGCUUAAGGUGACUACAAUCAAAGAGAAUGGUUGACUUUGAAGAAACCAUCUUUGAGAUAGUCUUAGUUUCAAUUAAUUCGAAGAUUGCUAGCUACAACUAAAUGGUGAUUCAAUGUUUGGACAUAAUAUGGGUUUCCGAAACCAUUAUUAAGAUAGUCUUGAUAAUAUAUGUCUAAAACUAAAAAUCACAAGACAUGUAAGUUGUAGAGAUCCAUCCAUCAUGAAUCUUAGCAAGCUAGUGGGAGCUAUAUGCGUCUUAUGAGAGAGAAAGAUCAAAUCGUUUGAUUUCUCAUAAAGAUGUAAAUGAUGAAUCUUUUGUUUACUAGGUUUACAAAAGAUUAGUGGGAGUUAAUCAUGUUCCUAAAAAUUUAAAUAUAUAUGAUAUAUUUUAUUUUGGAAAUGAAAAUAAUACUUCUUCGUUAAAGUUAUGACUUUAAUACAUUAUAUGAAGAUAGAAUGUAUAUGGGAGAUAUAGUCUAUGUACAUGGGAUGGAAAUCUAUAAUGAUGAUAUAUUUCAUGAUAUAAUUGGAUUAUAUCAAUCCCUAAUAAUAGACAAUGGAUGCUAGGAAGUUUCUCAUAUGAUGAUAAACUUCAAUAAGAAGGACGAUUCUAGUGAGACUAGCAAGUUGCCCUUCUCAAAGGGAACGUACCCUUUGACUCCCAAAGAAAUAAUGCGUAAAUUGAAUCCUUUAUGCAUACGCAGAAAGGUGAUUUAUGUAUUUCAUAUUGUAUGAAAAACAUUGAUAUGAGUUGUACCUAGAACGGUACAAGAUGAUAUCAAUGCAAGCCCAGGAUCAGAACCAUGGCAACUGUCAAGUGAGUCCUUAAGUAUUUAAGAAAUACUGAAGGAUAAAUUCCUCAAAGAUCGAGGAAGAAUCAAAGUAACAUAAUGGAAGCGUAAAUGUAUUAGAUUAUGAAUCUAAUCCAUCAUUGGAUGUUUAUUCAUUAUGAAUGAAGAGAUAAACGAAUAUCUCUUUAUUAUGACUAAAGAGAUAUUUGGAUGGAAACAUUAAAGUAAUGACUUUAGUGUGUUCCAUUAUGAAUGCAAGAUAUAUUGCCAUAUAGAAGUUUACAACAAUGUUGUUUAGAUGGGAAAGUUCAUUUAUGAACUCUUUAUUCGAUUCCAACCAGAAAGUGUAUGACACUAAUGGGGCGAUAGCUCAAGCCUGGGAAUCAAGGUCUCAUCAAGAUCCGAACACAAAUGAGAGACUGAACCACAUGAUUGAGAAUCAUGUAUAAUGGUGACGUCGUUAUUCUCAAGGUUGCUUCUGUGGAUAACACAUAUAGAUAUCCACUGCCUAAGCCUACUAUUCAGCCAUUUAUGAAAUGACUACAGAAGAGGUAUCAUCAAGAUGACCAAUGCUGAUUGGCUCUAGUGCAAGUGGGAGAUUGUUGGAAAUGUGCCCUAAAACCAAUCAUAUGAUG
rnacentral:lncRNA from 1 species